rnacentral:lncRNA from 1 species
CUCGUCCCAAUAGAAUGAUGGGAGCCUCAUCUAGAAGUAGCCUGAAAAUCUCCACGAGAAGUAUCAUGAUACCCACUAUGUGACGAUCCCUGAAAACCACCAAACAAGAACCCCUGGCACUUUCGGAGCCUCCUAGAAAAUGCAUCAGAUGACUGGCCCUCUGACCGGCCCCUCUUUCUCUGUUUCCCACUCUCUCGUGCAUCGCACCCCUCAUUAAUCUCAGAUGUGCGUGCAUAAUCAAUCGCUUGGGCGUAAGAAGGCAAUCCCUAGACCGAUAACAGAUUUCUGAUACUAGGCUUGAACCCCCUAAUAAGUUUCUUCAUUUUCUUAUCUUCAGGAAGAGGUUGAGAGAAACGGUAAAGUCAAGUAAAACGGGCCACAUAAUC